rnacentral:rRNA from 1 species
CAUUCACGGAGAGUUUGAUCCUGGCUCAGGACGAACGCUGGCGGCGUGCUUAACACAUGCAAGUCGAACGAUGAACCACUUCGGUGGGGAUUAGUGGCGAACGGGUGAGUAACACGUGGGCAAUCUGCCCUGCACUCUGGGACAAGCCCUGGAAACGGGGUCUAAUACCGGAU